GUGGUCAUGUUGUUGGCACAUAUACUAAAGUUGAAAUGAUACAGAAAUUGUUAGCAUGGUCACUGCCCAAGGAUGACAGGCACGUCUGUAAAGCAGUUACAGUUUUG